UACGAAGGGGGCUAGCGUUGCUCGGAAUCACUGGGCGUAAAGGGUGCGUAGGCGGGUCGUUAAGUCAGGGGUGAAAUCCUGGAGCCCAACUCCAGAACUGCCUUUGAUACUGAAGAUCUUGAGUUCGGGAGAGGUGAGUGGAACUGCGAGUGUAGAGGUGAAAUUCGUAGAUAUUCGGAAGAACACCAGUGGCGAAGGCGGCUCACUGGUCCGGUACUGACGCUGAGGUGCGAAAGCGUGGGGAGCAAACAGG
rnacentral:rRNA from 1 species